GGGUGGGUGGAUGUGUGUGUGUAUUUAUUAUAAUUUUUAAUAGAGACUUAUGUGUCACCUUUCUUGAAUGUGCAGCUCUGGGUGAUCCAUACCCUUAGCCUGUAUUCCUUUGCCAGUUACUGGAAUAUUAAAUUAUAUCUACCAUUCAAUUUUUAUUUGCCUAAGGUAAGUCAAUUUUUAUUUGCCUAAGGUAAGUCAAUUUUUAUUUGCCUGAAGCUGUUCACAUGCAAGAACUUCUGUAUAUUGAUAUGCUCAUGAGUCAUAACCAACCUUCGUAUAAAUGAUGAGGCAUGUUUAACCAAGGAAUUGUGACCAGCAAGCCAAUCUAACUGAAAGUUAGGUUGGAUAGGUAGCUCUGGAGGGUUGUUCAUGGAAUUAGCUCUUCAUAACCUUGAUUGAUGUCUCCAUUUUUUGUAGUCUCUUACUUCAGAUAGUAGCAUAAUUGACAAUUGAAUCAGCCAAAAGAAUGAAGCAAACAAACCUCAAAACAGAAAAUGGCAGCACAAAAACAAAACCAUCAAUUCCCCCUCCACCCCCACCGCUGCCACUGCCAAGAUUCUGGGCUCGAAAAACUGCUACUAUAAGCGUGACUAAUCAGGAGAUUGCUAAGUUUUGGAGGCAG
rnacentral:misc_RNA from 1 species